GUACGGCCGCAAGGCUAAAACUCAAAGGAAUUGACGGGGGCCCGCACAAGCGGCGGAGCAUGCGGAUUAAUUCGAUGCAACGCGAAGAACCUUACCAAGGCUUGACAUGAACCGGUAAUACCUGGAAACAGGUGCCCCGCUUGCGGUCGGUUUACAGGUGGUGCAUGGUUGUCGUCAGCUCGUGUCGUGAGAUGUUGGGUUAAGUCCCGCAACGAGCGCAACCCUCGUUCUAUGUUGCCAGCGCGUUAUGGCGGGGACUCAUAGGAGACUGCCGGGGUCAACUCGGAGGAAGGUGGGGACGACGUCAAAUCAUCAUGCCCCUUAUGUCUUGGGCUUCACGCAUGCUACAAUGGCCGGUACAAAGGGUUGCGAUACUGUGAGGUGGAGCUAAUCCCAAAAAGCCGGUCUCAGUUCGGAUUGGGGUCUGCAACUCGACCCCAUGAAGUCGGAGUCGCUAGUAAUCGCAGAUCAGCAACGCUGCGGUGAAUACGUUCCCGGGCCUUGUACACACCGCCCGUCAAGUCACGAAAGUUGGUAACACCCGAAGCCGGUGGCCUAACCCUUGUGGGGGGAGCCGUCGAAGGUGGGACCGGCGAUUGGGACUAAGUCGUAACAAGGUAGCUGUACCGGAAGGUGCGGCUGGAUCACCUCCU
rnacentral:rRNA from 1 species